rnacentral:misc_RNA from 1 species
AAAGUCGUAACAAGGUCUCCGUAGGUGAACCUGCGGAGGGAUCAUCAAAGAAUUUCCAAAAACAAAGUGUUCCUCUCUUUCUCUCUUAUGAGAGUUGGUGGGAGUGAAUGCUUUCAAACAAACGAUCACAACUAUAAUAAUUAUAUGGGAAAUUGGAUUGGGAAAAACAAAAAGUGUUUGCCUGAUAAUUUGAUUGAUUGGAAAAAAAAGAGAGAAAAAUACAACUUUCAACAACGGAUCUCUUGGCUCUC